ensembl:lncRNA
UGCGCCACUGAGCAGGUUUGCAUAGGAAUGAAUGGGCGGCCAUUUUCCAGUCCGUGGUCCAUCCUUUAUUAUGUCCAUGGUUUCACCGAGCAUGCAUCGGAGGUGGCUCGUGUGUACUUGCAACCGCUAUAAAUCCCAGGAUGCAUUUCGCACUCGCAGCAGUAGAUGGCGGACAACAUGGAGAAGACGCACUGUCAGCUAUUAUCUAUAAGCUAUUAAUUUAUAUGCCUAAAUGAGGCCGUAGCACAGUUAACGGACGAGCAGAGGUGGUGACGUCAUCGAGUCCGCUGCUGUUCCAAUUGCAGGUACGUACUCGCGUGCUCGCAAGUCUGUGCUUGAAGUACGGACUUGCCAAGUACGUACUUGCAAGUCAUCGAGUCCGUAGUACGCGUGCUAGGAAUUGAGAAACGGCCUUACACACCGCUAAAUCGGAAACCAAAGAUGAACCAUGGAAAGAUCUCGCAGAGCAGCUUGUUCCAGGAACUUGGUUGGAGAAAACUGGACAUGAUAUCGAGGGACUUCCACCACAGGAAUAUGGGAACGACUGUGGGAUCUUCAUGAUUAUGUACGCUUGGUACCUUGCCAUGGAGGCACCAUUUGACUUCACUGUUAAAGACAUGCCAGACCUCAGAAAAUGGUGGUGCACAGUACAGCUUGAGAACUUCCACCUGGAUGGGCACGGUAGAAGGUUCGCACACUUCACGGAGGAGGCCAAACAAAUGGCGGUUGGACUACUUCCACCAGUCUUCAGACUGAAGCGAAAAAGAGAAUGAGUUGGAGCUGAUGGCAGCAUGAAGAACCUAUAUCUUUAAGAUUCUGUAGAUUAUGUGUUGAAUAAAUUGUGAGGAAAC